rnacentral:lncRNA from 1 species
CCUCUUUUCUGAUUCCACACUUGGUGGAAAAAGAUAGAAAACCAAUCCCCCUUUUUUUCCCUUUGUAGGUAAACACAUGAAUGUUGAUUCUCUGCCCAGGAGAUAAACCUUCAUUGUGGCAGUAAUGGAUGCAGCACGCAAACAGGAAAGGAGGCUGAUGCAUUCAUUCUCCAGCAAAAGCCAUCCCAUGAGUGCUGUGUCAAGUGUCCACGCUAAUUGGAAAAAACUACUUUGUGGACUUUGCUGAGUUAGAUGACCUUCUGAUAUGUGCUGAAAGGAUUUCUUGUGCAUCCAAGAGGAUAGUUUCAGGUGGGAACUAUGCUGACCAGAAUGAAUUUUGUUUCCAUUUAUUGGAAGCCCUGCAUACUGAAGCAGCUUUCACAGAUGAAGACUCUAAAGAAGUUCUGGCUAAACCAGAAAACCAGCUACAAGAUCUUAAAGGAACCUGUAUGAUCCAGUGACUCUAAAACUCAGAUGUACAAAGAAGCUGAAUGCCUCACUCUGUGUGGCUUUUUUGAAAAUACAAGGAAAAGGUGCAGCCAAGGUUAAGAAAAAGGUGCAGUGUCCAUUUCUUGGUACCUCUGUGAAAAACACGCACAUGGUUCCUAACCUGAUUUGAUGGUCCCUGAAAUGUGGAUAUAUGCACAGUCCAGCACAGUGGAAUAUUCAUCAAUAAAAUAGGUGUUAUUUAAAUUUUAAGCA